UAGCCUAGAGGUUAAGGCUAUGGAUUGCCAAUCCGGAGACGGUGGGUUCGAUUCCCGU
rnacentral:tRNA from 1 species